rnacentral:rRNA from 2 species
AUGCAAGUCGAGCGGACUUGUUAGAAGUUUGCUUCUAACAAGUUAGCGGCGGACGGGUGAGUAACACGUGGGUAACCUGCCUGUAAGAUGGGGAUAACUCCGGGAAACCGGAGCUAAUACCGAAUAACACUUUCGCUCGCAUGAGCGGAUGUUAAAAGACGGUUUCGGCUGUCACUUACAGAUGGACCCGCGGCGCAUUAGCUAGUUGGUGAGGUAACGGCUCACCAAGGCGACGAUGCGUAGCCGACCUGAGAGGGUGAUCGGCCACACUGGGACUGAGACACGGCCCAGACUCCUACGGGAGGCAGCAGUAGGGAAUCUUCCGCAAUGGACGAAAGUCUGACGGAGCAACGCCGCGUGAGUGAUGAAGGUUUUCGGAUCGUAAAACUCUGUUGUUAGGGAAGAACAAGUAUGAGAGUAACUGCUCGUACCCUUGACGGUACCUAACCAGAAAGCCACGGCUAAACUACGUGCCAGCAGCCGCGGUAAUACGUAGGUGGCAAGCGUUGUCCGGAAUUAUUGGGCGUAAAGCGCGCGCAGGCGGUUCCUUAAGUCUGAUGUGAAAGCCCACGGCUCAACCGUGGAGGGUCAUUGGAAACUGGGGAACUUGAGUGCAGAAGAGGAAAGCGGAAUUCCACGUGUAGCGGUGAAAUGCGUAGAGAUGUGGAGGAACACCAGUGGCGAAGGCGGCUUUCUGGUCUGUAACUGACGCUGAGGCGCGAAA